rnacentral:rRNA from 1 species
AUUGAACGCUGGCGGCAGGCCUAACACAUGCAAGUCGAACGAGUGGCGGACGGGUGAGUAAUUUCUGGGAAACUGCCUGAUGGAGGGGGAUAACUACUGGAACCGGUAGCUAAUACCGCAUACCAUCAGAUGUGCCCAGAUGGGAUUGGGUAGUUGGUGGGGUAACGGCUCACCAAGGCGACGCUCCCUAGCUGGGCUGAGAGGAUGAGCAGCCACACUGGAACUGAGACACGGUCCAGACUCCUACGGGAGGCAGCAGUGGGGAAUAUUGGACAAUGGGCGCAAGUCUGAUGCAGCCAUGCCGCGUGUAUGAAGAAGGCCUUCGGGUUGUAAAGCUCUUUUGGCGGGGAGGCGUUACCCACAGAAGAAGCACCGGCUAACUCCGUGCCAGCAGCCGCGGUAAUAC